GAUGAACGCUGGCGGCGUGCCUAAUACAUGCAAGUCGAACGCGGGCAGCAAUGCCCGAGUGGCGAACGGGUGAGUAAUACAUAAGUAACCUGCCCUAGACAGGGGGAUAACUGCUGGAAACGGCAGCUAAGACCGCAUAGGUAUGGACACUGCAUGGUGACCAUAUUAAAAGUGCCAAGGCACUGGUAGAGGAUGGACUUAUGGCGCAUUAGCUAGUUGGUGAGGUAACGGCUCACCAAGGCGACGAUGCGUAGCCGACCUGAGAGGGUGACCGGCCACACUGGGACUGAGACACGGCCCAGACUCCUACGGGAGGCAGCCUGAGACUCCAAGGCACACAGGGGAUAGG
rnacentral:rRNA from 1 species